rnacentral:rRNA from 1 species
AACGAACGCUGGCGGCAUGCCUAACACAUGCAAGUCGAACGAGACCUUCGGGUCUGGUGGCGCACGGGUGCGUAACGCGUGGGAACCUGCCCUUAGGUUCGGAAUAACUCCUUGAAAGGGGUGCUAAUACCGGAUAAUGUCCUCGAACCAAAGAUUUAUCGACUUUGGAUGGGCCCGCGUUGCAUUAGCUAGUUGGGAGGGUAAAAGCCGAUCAAGGCUACGAUCGAUAGCUGGUCUGAGAGGAUGAUCAGCGACACUGGGACUGAGACACGGCCCAGAAUACUAGGCGAGGCAGGAGAGGGGGAUACAGGCAUACGGGCGAAGGGCUGAAGGAGCAAUGCCGCGUAAGUGAUGAAGGUCUGAGAGAUGUAAAGCUCGUUUACCCGGGGUGAUUAUGACGGUACCGGGAGAAUAAGCACCGGCUAACUCCGUG